rnacentral:rRNA from 1 species
AACGAACGCUGGCGGCAGGCUUAACACAUGCAAGUCGAGCGCCCCGCAAGGGGAGCGGCAGACGGGUGAGUAACGCGUGGGAAUCUACCCUUUUCUACGGAAUAACGCAGGGAAACUUGUGCUAAUACCGUAUGAGCCCUUCAGGGGAAAGAUUUAUCGGGAAAGGAUGAGCCCGCGUUGGAUUAGCUAGUUGGUGGGGUAAAGGCCUACCAAGGCGACGAUCCAUAGCUGGUCUGAGAGGAUGAUCAGCCACAUUGGGACUGAGACACGGCCCAAACUCCUACGGGAGGCAGCAGUGGGGAAUAUUGGACAAUGGGCGCAAGCCUGAUCCAGCCAUGCCGCGUGAGUGAUGAAGGCCCUAGGGUUGUAAAGCUCUUUCACCGGUGAAGAUAAUGACGGUAA